GCAGAAUGUAUAAUCUUAGCAAAUCGGUGAACCAGUCUAUUAUCUGAUUACAUGACGUGUACGGGUCAGAUGCAAGCGUCCAGUAGAUUAGGGAUAUCGAGGUCAACACGCUGGCGGUUGGGGAAAGAUUUAGGCGAAUGUGCGGUCAAGGUCAAAAUUGCGAGAGGCUGAAUCGAAGUGAAAUACCGCAACAAAAACGUUCGAUUUGGACAUUAACGCGUCUAACUGAAUGAGUCACAAUGUUUCUACCACAAGAGUUGUAAAUAUUGAACAGAGAGGGCUUCAUCUUCAAGAUGAAAACUGCAAAAAAUGGCCACCAACAAUAAUGGGCCAGGACUGAGGAGUUCCAAGAAAUGAGUAUUCUUCAGCCCACAAAUAUCAGUGCUGCCCCGCUGCCCAAAACCAGAGUGUGGCAAAAAGUAAAUGGACCUUGACAAAUUUCCUCUAUGUUAGAGCCAGUCCCUUACACAAGUGGCCUACUUUUGCACAGCUGAGGUUGUUAUCAAACGCAGCAGUAGGUAUGAAAUGCGGAAACUGUUCCAACUUGAUCUUCAACAGUUGAGUUACUCCUCAUCACAAUACCUGAACUGAAAACAAUCGGUGAUGAUCCUGCACUUCACUUCUACCCCACAGUGCUCUUCCCUAUAAACGCUAGAGGAAAGUUUGAAAAUGAAAAACUUGUCAUUGCAAGUG